GCUGUGGCUCAAAGGCAAAGCAUCUGCUUUGCAUGCAGAAGAUCCCAGCUUCAUUCCCUGGCAUCAAUG